rnacentral:rRNA from 1 species
GAUGAACGCUGGCGGCGUGCCUAAUACAUGCAAGUCGAACGCUGGAAAUCUAGCUUGCUAGAUUGAAGGAGUGGCGAACGGGUGAGUAAUACAUAAGCAACCUACCCACGAAGACUGGGAUAAUCUCUGGAAACGGGGACUAAUACCGGAUAGGUAAUCGGAAGGCAUCUUCUGAUUAUUAAAGGUUAAAAACACUGGUGGAUGGGCUUAUGGCGCAUUAGUUAGUUGAUGAGGUAACGGCCCACCAAGACGAUGAUGCGUAGCCGGCCUGAGAGGGUGAACGGCCACAUUGGGACUGAGACACGGCCCAGACUCCUACGGGAGGCAGCAGUAGGGAAUUUUCGGCAAUGGGGGAAACCCUGACCGAGCAACGCCGCGUGAGUGAUGACGGCCUUCGGGUUGUAAAGCUCUGUUGUAAGGGAAGAACGGUAGAUAGAGAAUAUCUAAAUGACGGUACCUUACCAGAAAGCCACGGCUAACUACGUG